GAUGAACGCUGGCGGCGUGCCUAAUACAUGCCAGUCGAGCGAACAGACGAGGAGCUUGCUCCUCUGACGUUAGCGGCGGACGGGUGAGUAACACGUGGAUAACCUACCUAUAAGACUGGGAUAACUUCGGGAAACCGGAGCUAAUACCGGAUAAUAUAUUGAACCGCAUGGUUCAAUAGUGAAAGACGGUUUUGCUGUCACUUAUAGAUGGAUCCGCGCCGCAUUAGCUAGUUGGUAAGGUAACGGCUUACCAAGGCAACGAUGCGUAGCCGACCUGAGAGGGUGAUCGGCCACACGGGAACUGAGACACGGUCCAGACGCCUACGGGAGGCAGCAGUAGGGAAUCUUACGCAAUGGGCGAAAGCUUGACGGAGCAACGCCGCGUGAGUGAUGAAGGUCUUCGGAUCGUAAAACUCUGUUAUUAGGGAAGAACAAAUGUGUAAGUAACUAUGCACGUAUUGACGGUACCUAAUCAGAAAGCCACGGCUAACUACGUG
rnacentral:rRNA from 1 species